AUUGAACGCUGGCGGCAUGAUUUACACAUGCAAGUCGAACGGUAACAGGCCGCAAGGUGCUGACGAGUGGCGAACGGGUGAGUAAUGCAUCGGAACGUGCCCAGUCGUGGGGGAUAACUACUCGAAAGAGUAGCUAGUACCGCAUACGAUCUAUGGAUGAAAGCGGGGGACCGUAAGGCCUCGCGCGAUUGGAGCGGCCGAUGUCAGAUUAGGUAGUUGGUGGGGUAAAGGCUCACCAAGCCAACGAUCUGUAGCUGGUCUGAGAGGACGACCAGCCACACCGGGACUGAGACACGGCCCAGACUCCUACGGGAGGCAGCAGUGGGGAAUUUUGGACAAUGGGCGCAAGCCUGAUCCAGCAAUGCCGCGUGCAGGAAGAAGGCCUUCGGGUUGUAAACUGCUUUUGUACGGAACGAAACGGCUCCGGUUAAUACCCGGGGCUAAUGACGGUACCGUAAGAAUAAGCACCGGCUAACUACGUG
rnacentral:rRNA from 1 species